CUCCAUAGCCUCUUUCUCGACCCCUCUCAUUCUCACUCACUACAACCAUCAUUCUCACUCAUUGCAACCAUUAUUGUGGAGGCUUCUGCUCUCUUUCGUCGAGCCUUCUUCUUGUUCUUGUGUUGUGAACCUCGUUCUUGUGUUGUCACCGUCGUCGAGCCUUCUUCUCAUUCGCCGACCGUUCUUGUCUGUGCUAUUUUUCUCCUCCGUCAUUGGAACCGUAGUUGUCGUUUUCCAUGAGUGGAACAGGAGUUUUGCCUCUAUUGGAACACUAGUUGUGUGGUAGUGGAACCGUAGUUGUUGCAGAGUUCUUGAAUUGUGGUUGAGCUGUGUGGGAUAUGUCAUUGGGAAGGCUUAAGUGUUGCAGAGUCAAGCAAAAGAUCAAUUGAAGCAAGAAUAUGGCAACAGGUGGUUGUGAUCCUCCUAUUCCACCUUUAGGAAACUUAGAUAAGGAGAAGGGGAAGAAGAAACCUUAUCAGAUCAAGUUGAUGUCGCGUUUCAAUAAUGUAAGUGGUUCAAGUAGUCAGCCAUCUACACCUACCUCUACCUCCACUACUAGAUUUGUUCCACCACCAUUGCAAGUUCCUGGUUUGACACCUACUCUACCAUCAAUUCCAGCUUCAUUGGAAGUUCCUGCCUUCACACCUAGUCCACAACAAUCAACUGCUGAUCAAUGGAGAUCACCCUCCCCCCAUGUUGGUUCUAACCCAACAACUCCCACAAUAAUUGCACCAACACCUCCUACAGGGGAUGGAGUUAGACAUUCAAGUUCAGCGGCGAAUUUUGAAGAUGUUUCCAACAAUCGUCCAUUGAUACACCUAUUGGAGGAGGGUAACAAAAAUUUAAUUUAAUGUAGCUAAUUACAAAAUGUAUUAUUCUAAUAUUUGACUUUUAUUUUGGUAUAGGUUUUAUCCAACAAAAACAGCAUCCAAAGCAAUAUCAGCCACCAUCAAAGGACAGUUUGAUGAGCCAUGGGUGACAUGGGGACAAAUCCCUCAGACUCGUAGAGAUGUUUUCUUUGAGCGUUUUAAGAGAAAGGUAUCCUGGAGGAAUGAGGAUAAAGAAAAUAUAAAAAAGAACUUCCAUACCAAAGCAUCUCAUAAAUUAUCUGAGAUGUUUAAAAAAGCAAGAAGAUUGGGGAAAAAACCUGAAUCGAUGGGAGAGGAGGUUUGGAAUGCUCUUUCGGAAAAGUGGAACAUGCCACUUUAUCGACAAAAGUGCGAAACCGCCAAGAAGAACAGGACAUCCGAAAAGGGUGGCUGUUUGCAUACUGGUGGAUCCAUUAGCGUGCAUGAGCAUGCUAUUUGUCUGUCACGGGAGCUUGGUCGGACAGUCCAUGUCGAUGAAAUUUUUCAACAAACACAUAUUCGAGCAUCUACAGGAGAAUUUGUCGAUGAAAGGUCUAGGCGGACACAUGUUAGGAACAAUUUCAAGCUAGAUUUUCUCAAGUAGUAUAUGAGACUGCAUCUGUUGGUGCUUUAGCAUCUGCUCCCCUAGACCCUGUAGAUGAGGAAAGAUUGAGGAACCAAUGUUGGUUUGAGGUUGCUGGUGGAAGGUACAAGGGGCGGGUAUAUGGCAUUGGAAAUGUCAGUGGUUGAGAUGACUGUGUCGAUAGUUACGUACAACAGACACAUGCAUCUUCUUUUCAGCAACCGAUUGUACAGAACAUUUCUAACCUUCAAAAUAUAGUGUCAACCCAUGAUGAGCAACUUCGACAGAUAACUUCUAGAUUUGAAGGCUUUAUUGGCGCCAUAUUGCAUUACCUUCCGCCUCCUGCAGCCGUAGUUGCACAAGAAUUUCUUCAAUCCCAAAUUUAGCCACAGACAGUUUAGCAACCACAACAACCACAAGAGGAUCAACCACAAGAGGAUCAACCACAGCAGGAUCAACCACAGGAUCCAACACCACAUGGAGCUCGUUAUGAAAAACAUUACUAGUUAUGUUUCAGAGUAGGGCUUAUGAUUGAAAUUUCAUGAACAACUUAUUUCAACUUAUUGUUUGAUGGAAACUUUCUUUUGAUGUAUUAAUGACUAAUGUUUGAUGUAUUAAUGACUAAUGUU